rnacentral:rRNA from 1 species
CACGUAGGGGGCAAGCGUUGUCCGGAUUUAUUGGGCGUAAAGAGCUCGUAGGCGGUUCGGUAAGUCGGGUGUGAAACCUCCAGGCUCAACCUGGAGACGCCACCCGAUACUGCUGUGACUAGAGUCCGGUAGGGGAGCGUGGAAUUCCAGGUGUAGCGGUGAAAUGCGUAGAUAUCAGGAAGAACACCCGUGGCGAAGGCGGUUCUCUGGGACGGUACUGACGCUGAGACGCGAAAGCGUGGGGAGCGAACAGG